CAGCGGGCCGCCCCCGCCAGAGGACCCCUAACUCUGUUUUUAUAAUGUUUUUCUGAGUAAACAAGCAAAUAAAUUAAAACUUUCAACAACGGAUCUCUUGGCUCUGGCAUCGAUGAAGAACGCAGCGAAAUGCGAUAAGUAAUGUGAAUUGCAGAAUUCAGUGAAUCAUCGAAUCUUUGAACGCACAUUGCGCCCGCCAGUAUUCUGGCGGGCAUGCCUGUUCGAGCGUCAUUACAACCCUCAGGCCCCCGGGCCUGGCGUUGGGGAUCGGCAGAAGCCCCCUGUGGGCACACGCCGUCCCUCAAAUACAGUGGCGGUCCCGCCGCAGCUUCCAUUGCGUAGUAGCUAACACCUCGCAACUGGAGAGCGGCGCGGCCAUGCCGUAAAACACCCAACUUCUGAAUGUUGACCUCGAAUCAGGUAGGAAUACCCGCUGAACUUAAGCAUAUCAAUAAGCGGAGGGAAAAAACCA
rnacentral:rRNA from 1 species